AGAGUUUGAUCCUGGCUCAGGAUGAACGCUGGCGGCGUGCUUAACACAUGCAAGUCGAGCGAAGCACUUUUGCGGAUUUCUUCGGAUUGAAGCAAUUGUGACUGAGCGGCGGACGGGUGAGUAACGCGUGGGUAACCUGCCUCAUACAGGGGGAUAACAGUUGGAAACGGCUGCUAAUACCGCAUAAGCGCACAGUACCGCAUGGUACGGUGUGAAAAACUCCGGUGGUAUGAGAUGGACCCGCGUCUGAUUAGGUAGUUGGUGGGGUAACGGCCUACCAAGCCGACGAUCAGGUAGCCGACCUGAGAGGGUGACCGGCCACAUUGGGACUGAGACACGGCCCAAACUCCUACGGGAGGCAGCAGUGGGGAAUAUUGCACAAUGGGGGAAACCCUGAUGCAGCGACGCCGCGUGAGCGAUGAAGUAUUUCGGUAUGUAAAGCUCUAUCAGCAGGGAAGAAAAUGACGGUACCUGACUAAGAAGCCCCGGCUAACUACGUGCCAGCAGCCGCGGU
rnacentral:rRNA from 1 species